GACGUAGGGCGCGAGCGUUGUCCGGAUUUAUUGGGCGUAAAGAGCGCGUAGGCGGUCCGAUAAGUCGGCUGUGAAAGUCAGGGGCUCAACCCUUGAAAGCCGGCCGAUACUGUCGGACUAGAGUCCGGAAGAGGCAAGUGGAAUUCCCGGUGUAGCGGUGAAUGCGCAGAUAUCGGGAGGAACACCAAUGGCGAAGGCAGCUUGCUGGGACGGUACUGACGCUGAGGCGCGAAAGCGUGGGGAGCAAACAGG
rnacentral:rRNA from 1 species